CGCCCGCGCCUCGCUUCUCUCCUCCCUCCAAACCCUAGACCCGCGCCCGCCCGCCGUCGCCGCCGCUCGCCCAAGCCAUCCUCCCCGUCCACGGCUGCGGCACGCAUCGCUGCCAUCUGCCCGACGACGCUGUGAAGCAAGCGGCCAGAGAGGGAGGGCAAGAAGCUCGCGCGCAUCUGCAGCCUAACCUCAGCCGACGGCGGCGCGGAGUCCGCUCUGGACGACGUCGACGGCGGGACGUCGGUGCGCGUGCGCCACGCCGGCGCGUCCGCGAGUUCGCCCUCGAUGGCGUGUCCGCGUCGGCGGACGAGGGCCUAGAGCCCUAGCCCGCUCACUACCACACUCGCGCAAGGCCGCCUGCUCCCCACGCCGCCGCCGCCGCCUCCGCUCGCCUCCGCCGCCGCCGUCGCGUCUUCUCCUCCUCCCCGCCCUCUCGGUGCUCCUACCAGGCGAGCGCGAGCGCGAGCAGCCAGAGAGGAACGGCCACGGGCCUCUCCCUUAGCGGCGUCGGCGCCGGCGGCUCACUCUGCAGGCCCCCUGCCCCGUGGUGCUCAUUGUCCCCUCCCUCCGCGGCGCCGGUGCCGGCGGCUCCCUCCUCCGUAGGCUCCCUGCCUCGUGGGGCCUGGCGGCCUCGCGCGCGGACGACUCGUCGCCGGCGCCUCCUUCAACUAGAUCCUGUGCGCCAAGAAGGCCGUUGCUGCCUCCUGCAAGGACGAACCAGACGCCGUCGCCCAGGUGAGCUGAUUUGGACCUUUUCAUCUUGGUCUGUGCAGAAUUGGAGCCUUUGAAUGAUUUGAAUGGAGCAUACGUAUGCAUGCUACGGUUCAUCUUAGGAGAGGCACAACCUCUGGCACACCGAAGAGACAGACAUGGCUUCCAUGAAGAAUUUCGUCGAAGUGACUGCGUAGAUGAACUGGCAACUCCAACCCACAGGACUCCAGCAGCAACCAUAUUAUCAAAAGGUCAAGGAGCAACAAUUUGAUAUGCAUCCGUGAUAAAGAAGGUAAAACUUGAAUAUAGCCUCCUGCAACAUUAUAAGAUUACUUUGUGGUACAAAAUAUCAUGCACUGUCUUACACAUAAUUGUUGGCCAUUCUAAAAAUAUGGAUUCUACAUUGAAUUUGUCUUGGACUUCUUAAUUUAACCUCCGUGCAUGUUCUUAUGACAUUGAAUUUGAGCGAGCGAGCGAGAGGAGUACAUUACUUAUUCCACUUCUAAGCUACGCUUGUGCCCCUGUUCCUACGAAGUGUAUGGACGUGCCUAUAACUAAACAUAAAAAUAGGAUAGACACUAAAUGCUUUGAAGGAGCAGAGAUUGUAACUACACAGAAGCAUCACUAUGUAGGUAAUUGCUAUGAUAGUUAAGAUUAUUGUUGCUUGAUGCCGUGUCUAAGCUGCAGGUAUACCAUUGUUUUUGUACCUUUUCUAUUUAUAUGCUUCUACAGAGUACUUGGUGCAUGUACAUGCUUCACUAAAUCAUUUCCUUAUGAGCCAGAAUAAGAUUUUUAAAGUUGGUAGUUGCACUACAUGCUGAGAUUGUUCAUUUGUGAAGUACUUUGUGCAAAUGAUUAUUCUCGGUUCUUUGCCUCAUAUAACUACAAAUGAGGAGGUAUGAAGGGUCGACUAAGAAACUGAGUCAAACUACUUGAUUUAAGGCAUCAUCAUAGGUGAUUGUAGUUAAAUUGCCUCCUUCACACUUACAUCCACCAUCAAUCAGAUCUGGCAGCUACAUGGAGACAUGGAACGCACCAUCAUUUUGUCGGACCAAGUGUGGAGUUAGCUAUGGAAUUUACACCAUCAACAAACACAUAAAGGCCUGCAAGCUAUCCUCGCAAGUAGGGCAUUUACAUGCUCUAAGUCAAUCUGUUAGGGAGAAAACAAGGGCUUGUGUGCCUAUUAAUUUUUUCCCUAUCAUAUAUGUGGGCACCUUAUCUAUCUGUAACAUGUAACCUGUGCAACUGCAAAUAUGUUAGACAAAAUUAAAUUAUGUUCAACAUAUGUUCUUAUACACUUUGCCUAUAGAAACUAUGCAUAGUUGUUACUCCCUU